rnacentral:rRNA from 1 species
UACGUAGGGGGCAAGCGUUGUCCGGAUUUAUUGGGCGUAAAGAGCGUGUAGGCGGCUAGAUAGGUCCGUUGUGAAAACUCGAGGCUCAACCCUCGGAUGCCGGUGGAUACUGUCGGGCUUGAGUACGGAAGAGGCGAGUGGAAUUCCUGGUGUAGCGGUGAAAUGCGCAGAUAUCAGGAGGAACACCAAUUGCGAAGGCAGCUCGCUGGGACGUUACUGACGCUGAGACGCGAAAGCGUGGGGAGCAAACAGG